rfam:Acidobacteriales bacterium 13_2_20CM_2_55_5 13_2_20cm_2_scaffold_2415, whole genome shotgun sequence.
AGGCGCGUAGCUCAGUUGGUUAGAGCGCUACCUUGACACGGUAGAGGUCUGGGGUUCGAGUCCCCACGUGCCUA